rnacentral:rRNA from 1 species
UCAGGACGAACGCUGGCGGUAUGCUUAACACAUGCAAGUCGAACGAGACGAGAUGGAAGGAUCCUCGGGUGACGGAAAGUCUUAGAAAGUGGCGAACGGGUGAGUAACGCGUGGGUAACCUGCCCUAUGGAAAGGAAUAGCCUCGGGAAACUGGGAGUAAUGCCUUAUAAUACAUUGAAGUCGCAUGGCUUUGAUGUUAAACGCUCCGGUGCCAUAGGAUGGACCCGCGUCCCAUUAGCUAGUUGGUGAGAUAACAGCCCACCAAGGCGACGAUGGGUAACCGGUCUGAGAGGGCGAACGGUCACACUGGAACUGAGACACGGUCCAGACUCCUACGGGAGGCAGCAGUGGGGAAUAUUGCGACCAAUGGGGGAAACCCUGACGCAGCAAUACCGCGUGAGUGAAGAAGGUUUUCGGUAUCGUAAAGCUCUGUUAUUGGGGAAGAAAAAAGACGGUACCCAAGAAGAAAGUCCCGGCUAACUACGUGCCAGCCGCCGC